CUCUUUGUGACCCUAUGGACUGUAGCCCACCAGGCUCCUCUGUCCAUGGAAUUCUCCAGGCAAGAACACUGGAGUGGGUUGCCAUUUCCUUCUCCAGGGGAUCUUCCUGACCCAGGGACUGAACCCAGGUCCCCCGCAUUGCAGGUGGGCUCUGGGAAGCACCAUUUUAAAAGGUAGAUCUGAAUAAGGUAUUCGUAGAGGACAAAGUCCAAGAUAUAACAACCCCUCCAAAAAAGGUAGGCUGUAAAAGUUGCAUAUAGGACAUGCUUUCAUUUUUGUUAAUUAGUAAUAUACAUUCAUAUUUACAAGUAAAACAUUCCACAGGAUAAUGCAGCGAAAGGUUAGGUCUGCAGGCUCUGUAAGGUAGAAGCUUUCUAUCUAGACUACACUGUUACAUUCUUUUAUAGUAAGUGUUUCCACCGUGACCAAAAAUACAGAGAUAACUAAAAAACACAAAAGCAGAAAUGCAGACAACAGCCUACGAAUGAGUAAGUACAAAGUAGUCCCAUCAGAUGAAUGCAGAUCCCAUGGCGUGGGAACAAAACUCAAGUUCAAAGGAAACGCCCUUUCGGCCCUGCUGAGCAGAGGCCACCUCGACCGACGGCGCGUCACCCCCUCGGCAAGCCAACCUCUCUGGCCUGGCUCCAGCUGCCUGGCCUUGGUCAUCCCACGUCUACCAGGCUCGCCUCCAUCAGGACCGACCCCCUCGUCACUCGUGGGCAGUUCAGGGCAGAGGCAACAAGAAGAGGCCAACUGGGGACCAAGGUUUGUAGCCUCACCCUAUGGCACUGCGAUUCCAAACCCACAGCGCUCACUCCUAAACCUGCCAGCUCCAGCUGCAUCGCGUCCAAACACUCCCCAAGCUCCUGAACUAGCUUCCCUCUGUCACCAGAUCCGUGUGCAGAGCAUUUCCAUGGCAAUAACCUGCUCCACAAAAGGUACAGUAAAUAUUUACUAUUUUUUCACACAUUUCCACUUAUUUGGGUAUAACAAUCUAACUGGCACUCUCCACGGCUUUGGAAAAUGAUAAUGGAGAAGCCAAGCCUCUGGGAACUAAACAGAAGCGCCUGCUGCAGCGGGGACAGCAGCCAGCCACGUGGCCGAGGAAGAGCAUCACGUGGCCACAGAUCCAAAGACUUCAGGAAGCCGGGCUUAAGGAUGCCUCCCAGAGCCGCUGAACACCCCUCCAGCCACCCCAUCCUCCCAGUGGCAAAUGCAGUAAGCAGUACGUGGCAAAGAUUCUUCACACGCCCCCAGCCCUCUCUGUUCCUCUCCACUCAGUGCCCCCAACACCCACACACAAGCACAGGUCCUCUCGGAGAAUAUUUCAGCCUUGUUCACGUAUACACAGAAUGCAAGACCUACUCACUUUUAAAGGAUAAAUGCCCUACAUGUGCAUGCCUAUUACACACAUACGCACAAUAAACGGCAGAACCGCACUGUGCCCGCUCAGGAAAUGGGUUGUGGGGGGGGGCGGUGUGCUCCCUGGAAUGAGGGGUCUUCUCUGCUCUGCUCGGGGCUUUUGAAAUGUCAGCUGAGCCAGGGAAGAGGCUCUGACUCACACCCUGACUCACUCCCUUCUCUGCUGCAAGACCCCAUCUUUGCAGGGAGGGCAGCACACAGCUUUUUCAUUCACUCCCUCAUUCAGGCAUAAAACCUGUUUUCAGCAGAAAAAAUAAACUCAUUCAGGCACAAACUCUAUGCCCAGCCUUGCACGGGUCCCUGAAGAGAGAGACGUGAAGACAUAAAUAAAAUGUAGUCCCUGCCCUCAAGUUUCUCAUUGUCUGACAGAUGGGAAACAAACAAGUCAGCACAAAUCAAAGUGCUAUCAGAGGGGAGACAAACCCAGAGUGUUCAGAAGACUGAAACAUCUGACCGUGAAAGUGUGACAGGUCCACGUGGCGAAACGAUUCAUAAACAGAAAGGAAAGACACGCGGCAGACCAGGGGGAUUUACUGUCAACACACAGCACAGACGAGGGACUGGUCUCCACUAUAUCUAAAGACAGCUAGUGUCCAUCAGUAAGAAAAAGCCCACCAGAAAAAUGGACAAAGUAAUACGAAGAGGGGAUUUCCAGAGAAAGAAAUAUGAAUGAGCAACAAGCCCAUGAAGAUAUGCCAACCUGCAUGAAUACCUGGGAAAUGCAAAUGAAAACAAGAUACUUUUGCACGCAUUCGAUUGGCAAAAACGGAAAAGAACAGUUCAGUCCCAGUGUUGAGGCCCGUGUGGGUUGAAUGAAUGGUGAACGGAUGAGUAAAGGUCCCAUCAAGCCCCUCACAGGUUGGAGGAUGGAUAUUCCAUUUCUUUUGCUAUUUCUCCCUCUCCUCCUGGGUGUUUUGCACAUGACAGAUACCCAGCAGUCCUCUGUGAAUCGAGUGAAAUGGGACGUAUUGCUUCCUAUAUGAGCUGCAGAGGUUUCUUAUUAUUCAAAUGCCCCUCCCCAUUGCUCUUCUGGGAUUGGGGAUGAUUCAAGGAGGCUAAUGGAUCUGGGAGCAGGAGCUGGAGACGAGGAAGAACAGGGCUUUUUACCCAGGGACCCAAAGUGUUCUUUCGAUGAUGGCCAUUCCCCUGUCCUCCCCAGAGGUGAAUCAGGGUGUUCUGCACAUCUCUCACUCACAGAAAUGGGGACCAGAAAAAAGGUGGGUUGUGUGUGUGUGUGUGUGUGUGCGCGCGCCAAUUGUUCACCGCGGAGAAUAGGGAGGAAAUAGACCAAGAGACAAAGCAGAGAGCAAGGAGACGCCUUUGCUCAAGUGAAACUGCAGGGAGGCCCCGCCCUGGAAGGCAGAGAAAAGCGUUAGAAAUGGGGGUCCCAGGCCUGAGGGGCCUGCAGACACCAGGAGAGAUCCCUUCUGUUCCACCCAGUAAUGGGAAAAGCCAGCAUUAUUGUUUACUGUGUGCCGGGCACUGAGCUAAUAAUGAGACCGUCAGGUGCCUUAUCCCUACAGCCCUCUGAUGUUGGUACAUCCAUGCUUAUUUCGCAGAGGAACUCAGAGAGGUUAAUCAACUUGUUUGAGGCCACACAGCUUGCCAGUGGCAGCACUGAGAUUUGAGCCUAGGUCCAACUCCAGGGCCUCCUUCUCUUAACCACACUGCUUGGCUUUUAGCUGGC
ensembl:lincRNA